rnacentral:rRNA from 1 species
GACGAACGCUGGCGGCGUGCUUAACACAUGCAAGUCGAACGGAAAGGCCCUGCUUUUGUGGGGUGCUCGAGUGGCGAACGGGUGAGUAACACGUGAGUAACCUGCCCUUGACUUUGGGAUAACUUCAGGAAACUGGGGCUAAUACCGGAUAGGAGCUCCUGCUGCAUGGUGGGGGUUGGAAAGUUUCGGCGGUUGGGGAUGGACUCGCGGCUUAUCAGCUUGUUGGUGGGGUAGUGGCUUACCAGGGCUUUGGCGGGUAGCCGGCCUGAGAGGGUGACCGGCCACAUUGGGACUGAGAUACGGCCCAGACUCCUACGGGAGGCAGCAGGGGGGAAUAUUGCACAAUGGGGGGAAGCCUGAGGCAGCAACGCCGCGUGCGGAAUGCCGGCCUUCGGGUUGUAACCCGCUUUCGCCUGUGACGAAGCGUGAGUGACGGUAAUGGGUAAAGAAGCACCGGCUAACUACGUG